AAAGUGCUUACCCUCUUGUGGUUGCGAUUUUACCUGAUGUGCCCGAAGAACAUCGUGAGAUCUUAAGGUCGCAAGGUUGCAUCAUUCGAGAAAUUGAUCCUAUAUAUCCACCUGAUAACCAGAUUCAGUUUGCAAUGGCAUAUUAUAUCAUCAAUUAUUCUAAGCUCCGUAUAUGGAAUGUAAGUAUAGAUUCUAAACACGCUGGUGUUAUUGAUGAUGAUACUAGGAGUUCUAUUUAUGCAUGCAUGUUCAAGCAUUUUAUUCUUCUUUUUUCCCUUUAAUUCUAUUUUAAAAUGCAUAUUUCAUAACAUGCAUUUGUGUAUUUGAUAAACAUAUAAAUUUCUUAGCCAUAAUAUUACAUGCAUAUCUUCGUGCAAAGCAUUAAUCAAGGAGAAAACACUAUACAACAUUUAGUGUUCAAUUGCUUCUAUUCAAGUAAUUUGAAAUUGACUACCCUCUCUAGAGUUUGUGUAUGUGUUACAUGUUCAUGUUCAAUUGCUUUUCGCCACCCUGUUAGGUCCAUCAGUUAAUGGAAGAUCUCAAGUAUAACGUCUUCAAGAAACCAAGUUUCGGUCUACCCCUCGUGUGUUCUACCUAGAUAACUGUCACCUUUAUAAAAUGGGGCCUCUUUUUGUCAAAUCAGGCCUCAGUUACCACCUAAGUCAUUCUUCUCUUAAUUUUUCCUCAAUGGGCACCACAUUCACUUCUUGUCUGCAUAUCCUCAUUCGUUAUCAAAUCAUUUUAGUAUGACCAUACAUCCAUCUUAACAUCCUCAUUUUCGAUAUGUCCAUCUUAUCGAAAACCGUAAUCAUCUAAACUUCUUCCUUUUUUCUCGUUAAUAAUACAGUUUGAGGAGUACAACAAGAUGGUUUACCUUGAUGCAGACAUCCAAGUUUAUGAAAACAUAGACCAUCUCUUGGACACACCUAAUGGUCACUUCUAUGCUGUAAUGGAUUGCUUCUGCGAGAAGACAUGGAGUCACUCCCCACAGCACUCCAUUGGGUAUUGCCAACAGUGCCCAGAUAAGGUUACAUGGCCUGCUGAAAUGGGUUCACACCCUCCAUUGUAUUUCAAUGCUGGGAUGUUUGUGUUCGAGCCAAACAGAUUUACUUAUGAAAAUCUUCUUCAAACUCUCACUGUCACUCCACCAACACCAUUUGCAGAGCAGGUGAGUUAUGUGUGUUGUUGUAUAAUAACAAAAGCUUCAAUCUAAUUUGAGAUUUUCUAGAACCUUAGACGAGCGAUUGUGCUUGAAUGGGUAUUCUACUGGCUACUUUGAUAAUCCCAGUGGCUAGGGAAACUUCUGAGCAUUGGACAAUAUCAAUUAUAAAAGCAGUUAAGACAUUAGGAGCUAUGAUAAGGUUUCAGUUCUGGUUGCUUAGGUAUAAUCACGAGUCCUCAAUGUGUAGAAUUAUGCGAGGCAUGUUUGGACUGAACCUUUUUUCCUUGAAUUAUACAGCCUAAUAUUGUGCCUUACACCUUACAGAAGAAACUAAUAGGCUUCCAGUGCAAUGUGGCUAAAAUCUUUAUGCAGCUGAUUUAUAAAAUUAGUUGGAAGAACCGAUGACAAUGUUUAGGCAGGCCAUUUUGUAGGAUUUUUUGAACAUCAUUUCUAAUUGCUUUACUUUGGAAUGACAGGAUUUAUUGAACAUGUUCUUCCAACAAACCUAUAAACCCAUUCCACUGGUUUACAACCUGGUUCUUGCUAUGCUAUGGCGCCACCCCGAAAAUGUUGAACUCGAUAAAGUUAAAGUUGUUCACUACUGUGCUGCUGUAAGUAUUUACUAUCUAAAAACCAUUUUGCCCGUAGAGAAUUAUACAUAUGAGCGCAUAUUUCGUUUGUAGUGUAAGAUUGUGUAACGGACAAGAACUUAACUUCUUUUCAGCCAAGCUUAAAAGAAACUCAAACUUACUUUUAAGUAACUUUUGAUUUCCAAACAUGUUUGAAUAUUUUUACUUUUUCUUAAUUAUGAGUAAAAAAUUACUUACUUUUGACAUGGUACGUGAUAAUUUCAAUUUCUAACUUUGAAUUUCAAACAUUUUUAAAUUCUAAAUCAUUCUUAUUGAUUAACAUGGAAUUUACUUUAAACUAAUUAUUUAAAGCUUAGUCAAACAUACACCUAAUAUUGUUCGGUACAUAUACUGUCCGCCUUUCUCGACAAGAUACUGGGCUUAUUGGUACUUCUUUAAAAAAAAAAAAUAAUAAUAAAAAAUAAAAAUAAAAAAAAUAAAACCUUCACUAACAUGGUUUAAUUUCCUAACAGGGAUCAAAGCCAUGGAGGUACACAGGCAAAGAAGCCAACAUGGAGAGAGAAGACAUCAAGAUGCUAGUCAAUAAAUGGUGGGACAUUUAUAAUGAUUCAUCCCUUGAUUUUAAUGCUGAAGAAUCAGAAGUUUCAGAGGAAAAAACCUUCUCAUUACCAUCAAUCAUGGCUGCAGUGCCUGAACCUACAGUAUCCUAUAUUCCUGCUCCUUCUGCUGCAUAAACGAAGAAAAUAUCUGUCUUUA
rnacentral:lncRNA from 1 species